GAUGAACGCUAGCUACAGGCUUAACACAUGCAAGUCGAGGGACCGGCGCACGGGUGAGUAACACGUAUCCAACCUGCCCUUUACUCGGGGAUAGCCUUUCGAAAGAAAGAUUAAUACCCGAUGUAAAGGAUGGGGAUGCGUUCCAUUAGGUUGUUGGUGAGGUAACGGCCCACCAAGCCUUCGAUGGUUAGGGGUUCGGAGAGGAAGGGCCCCCACAUUGGAACUGUGACACGGUCCAUAAGCCGACGGGAGGCAGCAGUGAGGAAUAUUGGUUAAUGGGCGCUAGCCUGAACCAGCCAUGUAGCGGGAAGGAUGAAGGCUUAUGGGUCGUAAACUUCUUUUAUAUAAGAAUAUGUAUUAUAUGAAUAAGGAUCGGCUAACUCCGUGCCAGCAGCCGCGGUAAUAC
rnacentral:rRNA from 1 species